GGGGGAUAACGUUGCGUAAGCAACGGCCCGAAGGGCGAGGCGUAGCCGACUCAUCCUCCCGGAUGCACCA
rnacentral:sRNA from 1 species